GACGAACGCUGGCGGCGUGCUUAACACAUGCAAGUCGAACGGAAAGGCCCUGCUUUUGUGGGGUGCUCGAGUGGCGAACGGGUGAGUAACACGUGAGUAACCUGCCCUUGACUUUGGGAUAACUUCAGGAAACUGGGGCUAAUACCGGAUAGGAGCUCCUGCUGCAUGGUGGGGGUUGGAAAGUUUCGGCGGUUGGGGAUGGACUCGCGGCUUAUCAGCUUGUUGGUGGGGUAGUGGCUUACCAAGGCUUUGACGGGUAGCCGGCCUGAGAGGGUGACCGGCCACAUUGGGACUGAGAUACGGCCCAGACUCCUACGGGAGGCAACAGUGGGGAAUAUUGCACAAUGGGCGGAAGCCUGAUGCAGCAACGCCGCGUGCGGGAUGACGGCCUUCGGGUUGUAAACCGCUUUCGCCUGUGACGAAGCGCGAGUGACGGUAAUGGGUAAAGAAGCACCGGCUAACUACGU
rnacentral:rRNA from 1 species